rnacentral:rRNA from 1 species
UAGAAAUCUGCCCGGUAGUGGGGGAUAACCUGGGGAAACCCAGGCUAAUACCGCAUACGUCCUACGGGAGAAAGCAGGGGAUCUUCGGACCUUGCGCUAUCGGAUGAGUCUAUGUCGGAUUAGCUUGUUGGUGAGGUAAUGGCUCACCAAGGCGACGAUCCGUAGCUGGUCUGAGAGGAUGAUCAGCCACAUCGGGACUGAGACACGGCCCGAACUCCUACGGGAGGCAGCAGUGGGGAAUAUUGGACAAUGGGCGAAAGCCUGAUCCAGCCAUGCCGCGUGUGUGAAGAAGGCCUUCGGGUUGUAAAGCACUUUCAGUGGGGAAGAAAGCCUUGGGGCUAAUACCCUCGAGGAAGGACAUCACCCACAGAAGAAGCACCGGCUAACUCCGUGCCAGCAGCCGCGGUAAUACGGAGGGUGCGAGCGUUAAUCGGAAUUACUGGGCGUAAAGCGCGCGUAGGCGGUCUGAUAAGCCGGUUGUGAAAGCCCCGGGCUCAACCUGGGAACGGCAUCCGGAACUGUCAGGCUAGAGUGCAGGAGAGGAAGGUAGAAUUCCCGGUGUAGCGGUGAAAUGCGUAGAGAUCGGGAGGAAUACCAGUGGCGAAGGCGGCCUUCUGGACUGACACUGACGCUGAGGUGCGAAAGCGUGGGUAGCAAACAGGAUUAGAUACCCUGGUAGUCCACGCCGUAAACGAUGUCGACUAGCCGUUGGGCUCCUUGAGAGCUUUGUGGCGCAGUUAACGCGAUAAGUCGACCGCCUGGGGAGUACGGCCGCAAGGUUAAAACUCAAAUGAAUUGACGGGGGCCCGCACAAGCGGUGGAGCAUGUGGUUUAAUUCGAUGCAACGCGAAGAACCUUACCUACCCUUGACAUCGUGCGAACUUUCCAGAAAUGGAUUGGUGCCUUCGGGAACGCACAGACAGGUGCUGCAUGGCUGUCGUCAGCUCGUGUUGUGAAAUGUUGGGUUAAGUCCCGUAACGAGCGCAACCCUUGUCCUUAUUUGCCAGCGAGUAAUGUCGGGAACUCUAAGGAGACUGCCGGUGACAAACCGGAGGAAGGUGGGGACGACGUCAAGUCAUCAUGGCCCUUACGGGUAGGGCUACACACGUGCUACAAUGGCCGGUACAAAGGGUUGCGAAGCCGCGAGGUGGAGCUAAUCCCGAAAAGCUGGUCUCAGUCCGGAUCGGAGUCUGCAACUCGACUCCGUGAAGUCGGAAUCGCUAGUAAUCGUGAAUCAGAAUGUCACGGUGAAUACGUUCCCGGGCCUUGUACACACCGCCCGUCACACCA